AUGUACUCGUCGCAGUCAUUGAGCCACGUCAAUAAAAUCCGAACCUCCCUCAUCAACGCGCAGAAAGGUACCCAAUCCGCCACCACCUACUUCUCCCACAUGUGUGGCCUCGCCGACGAGCUGGCCGCGGCUGGCAAGCCGAUCCAGGAUGACGAGCUGAUCUCCUAUAUCCUCCAUGGGCUGGAUCUGGAGUACCAGCCCCUGGUCUCGGCCCUCGACGCCCGCGUCUCACCCGCCUCCCUCGAUGAGAUCUUCGCCAUGCUCAGCAACUUAGAUCAACGCAUGGCGCAGUUCCACGGUGUGGGCGGC
rnacentral:rRNA from 1 species